rnacentral:rRNA from 1 species
CCUACGGGAGGCAGCAGUAGGGAAUCUUGGACAAUGGGGGCAACCCUGAUCCAGCCAUGCCGCGUGAGUGAAGAAGGCCCUAGGGUCGUAAAGCUCUUUCGCCUGUGAUGAUAAUGACAGUAGCAGGUAAAGAAACCCCGGCUAACUCCGUGCCAGCAGCCGCGGUAAUACGGAGGGGGUUAGCGUUGUUCGGAAUUACUGGGCGUAAAGCGCGCGUAGGCGGAUUGGAAAGUUGGGGGUGAAAUCCCGGGGCUCAACCCCGGAACUGCCUUCAAAACUCCCAGUCUAGAGUUCGAGAGAGGUGAGUGGAAUUCCGAGUGUAGAGGUGAAAUUCGUAGAUAUUCGGAAGAACACCAGUGGCGAAGGCGGCUCACUGGCUCGAUACUGACGCUGAGGUGCGAAAGUGUGGGGAGCAAACAGGAUUAGAUACCCUGGUAGUCCACACCGUAAACGAUGAAUGCCAGUCGUCGGGUAGUAUACUAUUCGGUGACACACCUAACGGAUUAAGCAUUCCGCCUGGGGAGUACGGUCGCAAGAUUAAAACUCAAAGGAAUGACGG